AAACUUUCAACAAUGGAUCUCUUGGUUCCGGCAUCGAUGAAGAACGCAGCGAAAUGCGAUAACUAAUGUGAAUUGCAGAAUUCCGUGAAUCAUCGAGUCUUUGAACGCACAUUGCGCCCCCUGGUAUUCCGGGGGGCAUGCCUGUCCGAGCGUCAUUGC
rnacentral:rRNA from 3 species